UAUCUCUGUAGAGUCUGCAUAUCAAUAAGCGGAGGAAAAGAAACUAACAAGGAUUCCCCUAGUAACGGCGAGUGAAGCGGGAAGAGCUCAAAUUUGAAAUCUUCAAGGUUCUACCUUGACGAAUUGUAGUUUAAAGAAGUGUUUUCUGUUGGAGUUUUGGUAAAAGUUCUUUGGAAUAGGACAUCAUAGAGGGUGAGAAUCCCGUAUUUGACCGUUAUUUUCAGCUGUGUGAUACACUUUCAAAGAGUCGGAUUGUUUGGGAAUGCAGUCCAAAAUGGGUGGUAAAUUUCAUCUAAAGCUAAAUAUUGGCGAGAGACCGAUAGCGAACAAGUACCGUGAGGGAAAGAUGAAAAGAACUUUGAAAAGAGAGUCAAACAGUACGUGAAAUUGUCAAAAGGGAAGCGUUUGACACCAGUGUUGUUUUCUGAAAAUCAACCUCUGUUAGCUUUAUGCAUGUUUGUUUAGACCUAAUCAGCUAUCUUGCAUGUUCUAUUGUUUGCAGUGGUGCACUUUUCAGUUUACAGGUCAACAUCAGUUUUUUUUGUUGUAAAAGGGUCAUUGGAAGGUGGCUUUCUUUUCGGAGAAAGUGUUUAUAGCCUUUGGCCUCUGCAAUCGGAGAGACUGAGGUCUGCAGCGUAGAUCCUUCGGGGUUAGAUACAUUUGUGCUAAGUUAUAGCUUUUUAUAGACAACUUGUUGACUAUAAUUAGUCUUGUAGCUUACUCGCUUAUGCUAUUUUACCUACGCUUAGGAUGUUGAACUACUGAGACAUAG
rnacentral:rRNA from 1 species